rnacentral:tRNA from 1 species
UAAGUGAAAGCCAAUAAGGCGCUUAUCUGUUACAUAAGUUUCUGCUAUAUAAUUAGCUCACUUAG